rnacentral:rRNA from 1 species
GACGAACGCUGGCGGCUUGCUUAACACAUGCAAGUCGAACGAUAAGUGCCUGCUUUUUUGCGCUGCUCGAGUGUCCAAAGGGUAAGUAUCACGUGGGUAACCUGGACUUGACUGUGGGCUAACUUCAUGAGACUGGGGGUAAUAGCGGGUAGGAGUUACUGCUGCAGGGUGGGGGUUGGUAAGUUUCGGCGGUUGGGGAUUGACUCGCGGCCUAUGAGCUUGGUGGUGGGGUAGUGGCUUACCAAGGCUUUGACGGGUAGCCGGUCUGGGAGGGUGACCGGCCACAUUGGGACGGAGAUACGGCCCAGACUCCAACGGGAGGCAGCAGUGGGGAAUAUUGCACAAUGGGCGGAAGCCUGAUGCAGCAACGCCGCGUGCGGGAUGACGGCAUUCGGGUUGUAAACCGCUUUCGCCUGUGACGAAGCGUGAGUGACGGUAAUGGGUAAAGAAGCACCGGCUAACUACGUG